UACGGGGGGUGCGAGCGUUGUCCGGAAUCACUGGGCGUAAAGGGCGCGUAGGUGGUUUGAUAAGGGUGUGGUGAAAGUCCGGGGCUCAACCCCGGAUCUGCCGUGCCGACUGUCAAACUCGAGGGCUGUAGAGGCAGACGGAAUUCCGGGUGUAGCGGUGGAAUGCGUAGAGAUCCGGAAGAACACCGGUGGCGAAGGCGGCCUGCUGGGCUCUGGCUGACACUGAGGCGCGACAGCGUGGGGAGCAAACAGG
rnacentral:rRNA from 1 species